GAGCGGUUCAAAAGUCAGGAGAAUUUCUGAAUGUGUUCAACUUGUUCUUCGUCUCCAUGUCUUGUAUCACAGGGAGGAAGGUGGCAUAUCAGCUGUGUCUGGUACUGAUUCAGGUGGUAGAAUCAUUAGAAGUCUUUAAAGCGAAUCAGAAUAUGAAAUAUGGAACUUCGGCUCUUCAGAAAACACCAGAAGCAAGACAGCUACAUCGAUCUUCUCUCAUCCUUCUACCCUGAAGCUGGUCUUAAAACCUCAUUUGAUGGUUGCCUUUCCACACCUGGAAGAAAGAAGCUGAAGACACAGACACACCCAGGACAAUCCUAACAAACAAACGUUGCUAAAUUAUGACACACUUGAGCUUUUCAGUCAGAUUUCUCCCCACUCGGCCACUGUUUGUUAAAUCUAAGCCUAAAAAUACAGAAAAUUAGCAACUUAUUUGGAUUUCUGUUUCCUUAUGAAGUAUACUGUAUGUCCUAAAACGUCAAUAAAUGAAUUUGCUUUUGUUUGCUAA